GCCUAGGCGGCGGCAGCUGCUGCGGCGACUGCAAAGGCCGAUUUGGAGUGCUGGAACGAAGAAGAGCAAAAGCUGCCUUCUGCGCGCGCCCGACUCCGCUGCCCGCCCCGCCAGGCCUCCGGGAGGUGGGGGCUGGGAGGCGUCCCCCGCUCCCGCCCCCUCCCCACCGUGCAAUGAAAGAUGAACUGGCGAGAGGUGAGAAGGGAAGAGGGCUCCCGGCUCUCUCGGGGCGGGAAUCAGUGGGCCAGAGCUCGCCGGGUGGCCGCAAGUACGCCGGCCCAGCCCGCAGCGCGCCCAGCCGGAAGGCGGGGAAUCCGGCUGACACCGCGCCCCGGGUUCCCAGGCCACCUCCUCUGUUCUGAGGCUGGGCUGGGAGACCGUGGGGCUGUGAGGAGCGCAUAGAACCGUGGUGGAGGGCGAGGCUGGGCCACCGGCCCUUCAAGCUCGGAAUGGAGGGGGAAGAGCGCAGAGGGCUGGCUGGGAGGAACUUGGGUGGGCGUGAAGGAGACGAGGGCAAGAAAAGAAACUUCCCUUCUUCCAGGAGGGUCUUCGAAACCCUCUCCCCACAGCCCCUCUCGUCAUUAGCAUGGCAAUGAGGAGUUUCUGUAAUUCGACUUGGAGGGGCGGAUGAGCCCUGGAAACUCAGAGCUCGCCGGAAAAGGCCGGGGGCGGCCGGGCUCUUCUUCCCCACCUUCCCUCUCUCGUCGCUCUCCGCCCCUUUCUCUUUCCCACUCAGUUUUGCACCGGGAGCCCUCCGGGAUGCGGAGCUACUCGACCGCCGGAUUUUUAGGGGUAGGAGGCGGGGGAGAGAGAGAUGACGCUGGCGGACGUGGCCAGCGUGGGGGCCGGGCCGUGCGCUGCAGGCCAUCUGCCGGCGCCCCGAGACCCAGGAGCCUCCGCGCUCCCGCGUGGGCCUCACAGGGCCGGUCCACAGCUCCAACAUAGUAGCUGAACUCCCUUCGUUGCGUUCCUCUUUUUCUGGAGGGGAAUGUUAGAAGAGAGAGAGAGCUUCCUUUUAUAACCUUCCUCAUUCUGCUGCACGUCUAGAGUGGGUGUGGGGGCUGGCAGGUGGGAGGGGCGGUGGACAAAUGGCUGAUGGUGGACGGGACACUUUACCCCAACGACACCUCCUCCCCUUUCCAACUGGCUGUGUAGUUGCUUAUGAGAACCUUCAAGUCCUUCCCUAGAGAGACACAUGCAAAUCUGAGCGUCAUCCCAGGCCAGGGGUCCUGUUCCUCAUCACCCUACUUCCCUGAGGCUGCUGAGGUCGUUAAAUUGUUGUUUACUAUUAGGUUUCACGUCAACCCUGGGCUUGUAGAGAGAAAAAGCCAAACGGAGACCAAGAAUUGAUGCAGUCUUGGGUAGGAGAAAUCGAGAGCUUGUCCAGGAAGCUUUGCUGUAUAAAUUAUAAGCAAUGCUGUAUAAAUUUUACUCCAACCAUGUGUACAAUGUUGGAAUCAGAUGAAAUUUAUAGUGAAUGAAUGUAUGUGGGUUUGGGGUUUCCACUCCCCUUCAGCCUUUCCUCCCCUGUUAGAACAAGGAAGGUUUUUUUUUUUUUUCAAGAAAGGUACAUUUCAAAUAUGUUAGUCACCCUUUCAGUCUUCUGUAUUCUGUUCUCCACGUACCGAAGUUCCCCCAAACCUGUCCUCUCAAGAGAGAAAACCCAUGCUGACUCUGGACUCCCUCAGUAACAAUGAAACAUUCUCCCCAAACAUUUCCUUUCAGAAUAGUAUUUGUGACUUUGAUCCAUCCCAAGCAUGGUUAAGAGGGAGCACGAGCAGGAAAGGCCCACUUUCUGGGGUUGGGCAGCCACCCCUGCCCCAGUUUCGGCUCCUGGGAAUCCUCCGACUGGAGAAGGGGAAAGGCAAGGCAGUCCUCCUGGAGGCGGCUUCCUUGGGAGCACCAGCUUCCAGCGGCGGGGAGAGAAGGCGCUCCUGUGGGAGAGGGGGCAGGAUGUGAGUAGGUCGGUGCUGGCUAUGCGAGCAAUCCUCCCUCCAAGCCUGAGCAAGUCGGUACAUUUUCCCCCGCUGCCUCAUUCCUGUACCUUGGUUGCCCUCCUCAGCCUGGGUUUGCAGGACCCCCUCGGCUGCAGGGCGCCUGCCACAAAGCCGACCCCGGCAGGAGCCACUCUCUCUGCUAGUUCGCUGCCUCGGCGCUGCUCUCCCUCAGCCUCUCUUCUUCUCUCCUGGCCUCUUUUCUGGGGCAUCCUGGGUGGAGUGUUUUUCUUGGGAUCACGAGCUUGCACUCGCACACAGGCCCGCAGACACACAGGCCCGGCGGCCGCCCUUCUCCGCUUGCUGUUCCCGGCUCCCCGCAGGCCGGGUGCUCGCAGCCGGGCUGGCUAUGCCUCGCCUGGCAGCCCAGAGCGCCGCUUCCCGGGAACGGCACACAAAGGCAGCCUCCCCUGGCCUCUAGCCCUUAGGCUUCUGUAGCUCAGUUCUUUCCCCACACCCCUCCCCCAAGAAAUUCUGGGGGCCGUUCCACCGAGUAGGAGAUCCUUGGCCCUCUAGGCAAGUAGGUCAGCGCCCCAAGACUGGAGCUGGUCUCUUUCAACGCCUUGGGAGACUGGGUGAAAGGCGAGCUUGGUUACGCUUAAAAUGAUCGCCUACAAGCGGUUCUCUUGGCUCAAAACGCCUCUUUCAGGGCUCUUAUGCUAGAAAGGAAAGGAAUAAGGAGGAGACAAAAUGACGCCGAGGCCCUGAACUGUUCAUGGCAUCCGCGGCUCAGCCAAGCUGUUGUUUUAAAAGAGCAAUAAAAAUGAAUUAUGACUAAACGCCUUCUAACUUAAUGCUUUCGGACGGGGAUCCCCGGCAAAUAACGUAAGAGGAUUUUUAUUUGUGCAUGUGUUCCUGCAAUUGAUCUCUUUGAUGACAUUCUCAUUCAUAGAAAGCGUUUGAUUUAUGAGCGUAGGACGAAUCGCAUCCUGGAGCUGCGCAGCCCUGGCCGCGGCCGGGACGCCCUGCUCCGCGCUGAGCUUGGGGCCAGAAACCAGCCAUAGUCCCCACACUCCGCCGCCGCAGCUGGGAUUUAGCGGAGGAAGGGGCGAGGGAAGGUAGGGAGCAAACCUAUGAAGAAACAUCGCGUUGUCAUUGGAACUUCCAAGCCUUUGCUGUUAAGAGCCAGGUUCUUAAAUCAACCCGCCCCACACACAUGUUGCUUACAUGCUGCGUUUUCUCACGGUCUGUUUUGCCUGAACCCAUCAACAGCUGGGAGAUUAAUCAACCACACUGAAAAUGUGGAGGGAUUUAUGGGGGAGGGGGUUGAAAUGUGGAUGUUUGAAACAAAAGUGUAUAAACAAAUGAAUUGUUGAUAACUUAGUUAUUGACCUGGAGACUGGUAGCUUAUUAAAGAAACUCCGUGUUACUCAUUCCUGGAGUUGGGGGUUUCUGUAGGCACUUUAUUUCUCCACUUUCAAGAGCUUGGGCUUGGCCCAAAUCUUAGACUGUCCAAUUCUGUCUCUAUUACCAAUUUAAAUCUAUGGCUUGAACCUGUGCACUGAAAAUCAAAUCCUUUAAAAAGAAAGAGGAGAAGAAGAAGCAAAAAAGAAAAAAAAAAAACACUUAUUAGAAGCCCUAGUCAUUUUUUGGCUUUCUGUUUUGUUGCUGUCCAUUGAAGACUUUGAACAUGCCGCCUUAAUAAAUGUAUUAAAAUUGAAAAAAGAAGAUAAAUUGUGACGAAUUUUAUUUAUGAAGUUAGACUAAAAGAAGAAAAAGAAACCGUUAUGAGCCUUGAAAAAAGAGGGGGAGAAAAAUAAGAAAGCUACUUAUAGCAAAGGAGAAUUUAUUCUACAAAAAAUAUGCAUGACA
rnacentral:lncRNA from 1 species